AUCCAUCAGUUCUCUUAGACCAUUAUAUACUUUGGAUGUAUGAAAACCUUGGAAUGUACUUUCUUGGAUAAUAUCACGUCAUCAUUGAAUUAUGGUUAAAAUUAUAAGUAGUAGACCAAAAAAAAUGAGGGAAUUUUCAUAAUUGUGCAAUCAUC